rnacentral:rRNA from 1 species
UACGUAGGGGGCAAGCGUUGUCCGGAUUCAUUGGGCGUAAAGAGCGUGUAGGCGGCCAGGUAGGUCGGUUGUGAAAACUGGAGGCUCAACCUUCAGAGGUCGACCGAAACCAUCUGGCUAGAGUCCGGGAGAGGAGAGUGGAAUUCCUGGUGUAGCGGUGAAAUGCGCAGAUAUCAGGAAGAACACCCGUGGCGAAGGCGGCUCUCUGGGACGGUACUGACGCUGAGGCACGAAAGCGUGGGGAGCAAACAGG